CCCGGGUUUCGUCUCUGCUUGAGUCUCCUCCGUGCUGCUCAGAAUGGUGCUUUUCCCAGUUAGAUACAGAGUUGCCUCAAAGGCCAAGCAAUGAGGGAGCCAUCCUCUUUUGCUUUAUUUUCUAAGAUGCAGGGAGCAUCUCUCUGUGCUUUGAGAUGCUGCCUGCAGAGUGGGAAUGGUGGAAGAUGCCUCAGACACCUUCUCAGCAAAGAGUCGCAAACUCCCUACGUGGAGUGGGAGGAGGGUGUGUGAGCCCCCUCUGUCCUCGGGAAGGGGGCUGCCCACAGGUCUCUUCAGGAACUAUGGAUAUCUUCUCAGUUUCUGGCCAGGUCAUUUGUGUUUGAGUUGGAGCAUCAUUGGCUGAAAAUCAUCACGCUUCAUAAAGGUCGCCAGGCAUCCUGAACCACCCAGAUGAUGCAGGAUGGAGGUGCCAGAACUCACUCGCGCUUUCUCACCUGCCGGGGGCCAGCCGGCUCUGGCUCCUAGACACCCAGGAGCCCCAGGUGGGCAGGUCUCAUCUCACCUGACCCUGGGCCCUGUCAUUCUGCCACCGGAGCAGGGUCUGGCCCCUACCGUGUUCCUGAAGGCCCUGCCCAUCCCAUUGUACCACACAGUGCCUCCGGGGGGCCUCCAGCCACGUGCCCCCCCUGUGACACACAGCCUCGACGGGGGCAGCAUACCCUUUAUUCUCAGCCCCCUGCUGCGGCCUGAAGGACCCGGCCCUACCCAGGCAGGGAAGCCAGUGGCCCCGGCACUCACCGUGAACAUUGUGGGCACUCUGCCUGUCCUGUCGCCAGGCCUGGGGCCCACUCUGGGGAGCCCGGGCAAGGUACGGAAUGCCGGCAAGUACCUUUGCCCACACUGUGGCCGGGAUUGCCUGAAGCCCAGUGUUUUGGAGAAGCACAUCAGGUCCCACACGGGUGAGAGGCCCUUUCCAUGUGCUACCUGUGGCAUCGCCUUUAAGACCCAGAGCAACCUGUAUAAGCAUAGACGCACCCAGACCCACCUCAACCACUCUCGGCUGUCCUCGGAGUCUGAUGGCGGUGGGGGCAGCCUCCUGGAGGAGGGGGACAAGGCUGGGGAGAGCUCCGGAGCAGAUGGCAGGGGGGACAGCAGCAGCCCGAGGGUGGGCGGUGGGGCCCGAUCGGAGAGACCCCUUUCUGUAGGCGCCCAGGGUGCUGGGCACUGCCCAGCGCCUGCCAUGCCCCUGUCUUCUGUUGCCAAGACCCUGGGUCUGAAGUUGGAAGCUGUUCCCUGUCCAGGGUCCACAUUUGCUGACAGAGAGACCCCCGUGGACUCUGCCCACACGGCCUCCCCUGGGCCUGCCCUGGCUGGCUCCCAGCCGAGGUGGAAGCUGCCAGAGCAGACGUCCCCGACUGCCAGCCGGCUGUGCUCCCUGCAGCAGCAGCAAGUGGUCACGUCCUCGGAGAAGCCCUGGGACGCCAAGGCCUUGGAGGGCCGGCUGCGGAAGUGUGAGAGCACUGACUCGGGCUACCUGUCCCGCUCGGACAGCGCAGAGCAGCCGCCGGCCCCUGGCAGCCCCCUGCAUAGCCUGUCGGGGCACAGUGCUGAGUCUGAGGUGGAGGUGGCCCUGGGGCCUGGGGGGCCCAGCCUGCAGCUGGAGAAGAAGCAGCUGGAGGAGCGCAUCGCCUGGCUCAUCUCCCACAAUCAGGCUGUGGUGGACGAUUCCCAGCUGGACAAUGUGCGGCCCCGCAAGACGGUCCUGUGUAAGCAAGGCAGCAUCGACCUGCCCAUGCCCUACACCUACAAGGACUCCUUCCACUUUGACAUCCGGGCGCUGCAGCCAGGCCGGAGGAAACCCGCUGCCCUCAGCUCGGCCCGUUCCACCUUCAUCCUCCCGGACAAGGCACAGCCACUCUUCUUUCACUCUGUCCCCACUCAGCUCUCCACCACUGUGGCAUGUGUGCCCAUCACCAGGAGCAACUCACUGCCCCUUGUCGAGGGCACCAGGACAUGGCAGGAGCCCCCGGGCCCCCAGGACGCCUGCCCCAGGAGGCAGAAGCCUCUAAGCCCCAGGCCUGCCCCCGCCCAACUGGUGAAUGUUCCCAGCGGCCACCCCCGGGCCCUGGUCAGACAGGCUGCCGUGGAGGACCUGCCAUGCCCCCCCACUGGAGACAGUCUGGUGCCCGCAGAGGACUCGGAUAGAAACAGAGCUGCUGCUGGGGUGGGGGCAGCCAGCAAGGGCAGAGCAGGCAGUAAGAAGUGCAGCCAGAGGAAGCUGAAGAUGUUCUCCCAGGACAAGUGGCAGGUGUAUGGGAAUGAGACAUUCAAGAGAAUCUACCAGAAAAUGAAAACCAGUUGCCAUGGAGGGAAGAAGGCAAGGGAGAUGACCCUGGGUAGUGGGACAGAGCUGGCCCUUCCUCUCCAGGAAGAGUUAGCAGGGAAUGAGGGCACAGUCCCAUUCCAGGACAGGAGGACCCCUGUCCAUGGGGACGCAGCUGUGGGGGCCAAGCCAGGGCCUUGCCAAAGUCCACUGGCCCCGGAGGGCUUCUUGGUGAUGGAGUCCCCCAAGCAGAGGGAGAUGGUGGCCAGAGCAGGAGGCAGUGAACAGCCUAGGGUGAACAGGGCCACCUCGCCCCCCACCCUCAGCUGCAGAGAACCCCCCUGCUUGGGCAGCAAGAGCCCCCUGCUUUCUCCAAAUGGGAGGCUGGAGCUGGGGUGUCAGCUGCCUCCAGCACCUGGUCCCCUCAGGGGAGGUGACUUAGAGGCUCCCAAGCUGAUUUUGCCAGACCCUAAGAUGGAAGAAGGCACCAGUGGUGGUGGGGACAAGAAGGAGACCUGUCAGUGGACCCAAACUGUGCCAAGGCGGCCCAGUGGUAGCUCUGGGGAGCCCCAGCCCUCAGAGGACAAGCUCCCCUCAGAGAGGAAGAAGCUGAAGGUGGAGAAGCUGAGCUGCCAGGAGCAAUCAGAGCCUCUGGGAACAGAAAGAGAGGCCCCAGGUGGCCCCGUGCAGGCCACGUCCCCACCAUCUCAGAACCAGGACUGUGACCCUGGGGAUAAGCCAGGGGAGCUGCAUGGGAGUGCUGAUGGCAUGGCCAGGGGCAGGGCUGGGCAGCCGAGCAGGCCCUUGGAGCUUUCUGGCGCCCCCUCUGCUGCUCCUUCUGUGGCCCCGAGGCAGGUGGGGCUGAGGGAAGAGAUCUUGCCAUGUCCUAGAGCUGCGUCCCUUGGGCAUCAGUCCCACCUGGCCACUCAGGCUCCUGGUGUCCUCGCUGCCCUGGCAGACACUGCCUUCCCCCCCAAGUACCUCCUCAGGUUGCCUCAGGAAGAGACCCACCCACCACCUCCCGUCGCCCUGGGGCCGGGACAAGGCCAGGACCCUGUCUGCAGGAGAAGGUGGCCCGAGCAACAGGCAUCCUUUGUCGGGUCAGGGCUGGGGACCCUCUUGCCUCCCUGCCCGGCUUCAGGCUUGGCCCCCACUGGGGCAGACAGCUUCCAGGAGGACCCCAGCUGCUCUAGGCCAUGGGGCAGGAGAAAAAGGGUGCAGGGAGAGGAGAAAGGAUACUUGGACACUGGCACCCCAGCAGCGGGGCAGUCCCAUGGCUCAUCCAACAGCAGCCCCAGGGAGACAGCUUCUUUCUUGCCCACCCCAACGUGUGCCACCUGGAAGAGUGGGCCCCCUGACACCCGACACCUCUGCGCGGGCAGCACUGUGGUGGGGGCCAAGCUGUCUGGGGGUGUCCUGAGUCCCUGCGCACUUAGCAGGGAGUUGGGACCUCCUGAGAAUGCCCCGGAAGACCCUCCCUCGGGGCCUCUGGCUGGGCUCAGUUCCUGCCACUCCUUCCUCACAGCCCCCACGCCCCCCAGCUGGCCAGAGCUGGCCUUGUGUACCCACUCAGAGACCCUGUGGAGCUUCAGGGCCCACGGCCCUUUCCCGUCAUUGAGGGCUGAGCCCCGACUCACAUGGUGUUGCUUGAGCCGAAGCCUGCCUCUGCCCACAGAGCAGAAGGAAAAGGCUGCUUCUGUGUACCUGGCACUGCACUUCCUUGGUGGCAGCGCGCAGGACAAGGGUCCAGACGCCCGGCCCGUGAGCAGGGCAGUGGUGGGAGGAUGGACGAAGACAGGCCUGGGAGAAGGAGGGCAGGUCCAGACAUCAAAGCUCUCCUGCCCAGUGGCCUCAGGGAUGGUGUCCCAGCCUGAAUGGAAGAAAGGACCGCCGUGGAGGAAGGUGAAGAUGUUCCGGGGGAGUGGCAAACAGAAGCUGAGCAUCCGCUCCAGAAGGUACAAAGGGAGUUUCUUACAGAGCCGUGUCCAGCCGAAAGGGGGUGGACCGCGCAGGCCUCCCAGAGUGCUGAGAAAAGACCGCCACCUACCCCCACUCGAGGGGCUGGGCCCACGCGGGACCUGCAGGCAGCCUUCUUCAGAAAUGGCAGGUCUGAAUCUGCAAGAGGAACCAUCUCGUGCCUCUUCAGAAUCACCUGUUGGUUGUGGGCACAGAGAGAAGGAGGAGGAGGGCUCCAGACAAACUUCGGGAAGCUUCUCUCCCAGCACAAGUUCAAGGGCCAGGAGUGGAAUAGACCCCGUAAUCAUGAAGGUAAUUUCUCCAGCUGCCGGUGGCUGCAGUGACUGCCACCAUCAGAACACUGCUGCUGGGUCAGGACAGUCUGAGCGCCCCGGCUCCUGCGUGGCUGUGGGUACCGACAGGCUUCUGUCUCCAGGCAGAAGUCUCAGCCUGGGAUUGCUGGAGACCCGGCCGCUGCCCUCCCAGGAGCAAGUCUCAGUAGAUAUGAAACCAUACAUUUCCUCCGAUGCUCAGGAGCCUUCUUCCUUUGAGUCCAAAGGAACCUCUCCCUGCCAGGAUGUUGCUCCUUCUGUGGCUGCCAUUUGUGCUCUGGGGGAGAGAGCAGGUCACACAACCCUGGGAAUUCACAGUGCGGAGCCGCAAGCCCAAAGAGCUGCAGGGGAGGCUCUGACACAAAGCUCCUCAGACAGAAAAGCUAAAGCGGAGGGCAUGUCACCACCAGUCCUGCCAGGGAGACCUUCAUCUGAGCAAAGAAUUUCAGGUUUGGUUUUGUUGGAGUCAACUGGAAAAACUCGUCUUGAAAUACCAGCAUCAGGAGCAGGCUCAGCUAGUUCAUACCAAGAGGAAGGGGAGCACAAGAUGUUUUCUCCUACUGGGGUACAGGAGGGGCGUGGAGAGAUGGUAGUCCCUUGCCCUCCUUUAGGAAAUGAAAGUGGGAAAUGUCGAGGCUCUGGAUUAACUGCUCUAAAAGAUCGUGUGGUUCCUUUUAACCCAGGGCAGCCCAGAGAAUCCCCUGAAUCCCCUUCAAAAACUGUCAAAAGGAGGGGUCUGGAAGGACUGAGAAAGCAGACCCGAGUGGAGGUCAGUGACACCAGCAGUGACGAUGAAGACCGGUUAGUGAUAGAGAUGUGACGCUUCUGAGCCUGCGGUUGGAGACCAGAUGCUGUCAGACAGGCAGACAGUUGAACUCUCUUUCACCAAGCACCUACCUAUGAGGAAAGCCAUCUGGGGAUCUUUCCAAGGCAUCCCCAGCGAACUCUAGCCCCCUAUUCCCCAGAUGCCCUUGUGGUAUACCAGGUGCCAGGCAGGCAAAGGCAGCAACGGAGCCCAGUCUAAGAAUGCUUGGCGCACAAUGACUACACUCACCUCCCAACCAUGUCUUCUACAUCGGCCCCCACUGCCUCCUCCGUACGUUGGCAUUAACCAGGAUAGCCGCAGUCGACAUAUUUAUGUGCAAGUGAACCGGUAGAGUCAAGUCGACCGACUUCCUCCAUUAGUAAGCUGAGGGUUUGCUUCAAAGGUGAACUCAUUAAAUAUAGGUGUCAGGACCCAGAGAAUCUUGUGUGCUAGAUUUGCACCUGUACAGUUCUCUUCACCCAUGCUUUUGUACUUAUGUGGGCACAUAAUUCGAUGUGAAGAAGUCUAGGAACAUUUGAGCGUAUUGCUUCACCAUUGGAAGAAAAGGAGCCAGGAAAAUAAUCCAUCUCUGUCCCUUGGAGCCCUAGAGGAUGACUCAACAUCUCCUAUAUGCAGCCCACCGUUCAGAACUUACUACUCUCUUGAUUGUUCAUGAUCAGGAAAGCUAUUGGCCUCUUGGUUGUUUGUUGAAAUUUAUCUCCUUCUUUAUAUGGUUAAAUUAUUUUGUUUUGAUAAAAAUAAAACUGAAAAAAAUGUUUUGUGUGAUUUGUUAACAUUUUAACUAAAACUAUCGCAGGCAGUAUCCUGUAUGAAUACGAUACCUGAUCAUUCCCAAGUAGUGAACCAGACAUCCUGUCCGCCAUAUUGGUAUCCCAUUCCACUCAACAGAAAGAUUGGGUAAUGGCAAAUUAGCACAUUUUCUUGUGCUGUUUCCGUUUCCCAUGUGUCUCAUUUGUCAUUGUCUGCCAUAUUUUAGACUUCUUAACUAAAAAAUGUGUUUUUAAAUUCUUAAAUGUAGCUAAGUUUUGAAGCCACAUGAGGGCACUAUCCACAGUGCAAUAAUCUAAAACUUUUCCCCUUAGAAUUGAUGUCUCUUGGGUAUUUAAUAUUAUUCAUCAACAGAAAAAACAUUCUUAAUUCAAAACAGUGCCUCCUUAUGAAGAUAGUUCAUGUAUUCUUUGCAAGAAUAAGUAGAGUUCUUUUACAUACCAAUACAAUACUAGUCUUCUACAUCUACACCUCUUGAAGGCACUUGAAGUCAAUGGAGACACAAUGCAUCGGGAGAAAAAGUUCAAGUGGAAAAACAUAAGGCACAGAUGUACUUACUGAUGGGUCUGAGAUGUGUUUUUGCUAACUCGUCAAACUCUAAUAGUAAUAAAUUAACCCAUUAUUUCCAAACUUCAGUCAUUUGAAAAUCAUCCUAAUGCUUUUUGCCAUAUAUGUCCACAUAUGGGUGUAUUAUUUACUUAAUACUUCUGUUUAACUCAUCCUGUUUUCCA